UCACAUCCUGGGGCUGAAGUAGGUCCCAAGGGUAUGGCUGUUCGCCAUUUAAAGUGGUACGCGAGCUGGGUUUAGAACGUCGUGAGACAGUUCGGUCCCUAUCUGCCGUGGGCGUUGGAGAAUUGGUUGGGGCUGCUCCUAGUACGAGAGGACCGGAGUGGACGCACCACUGGUGUUCCGGUUGUGUCGCCAGACGCAUUGCCGGGUAGCUAAGUGCGGAAGAGAUAAGUGCUGAAAGCAUCUAAGCACGAACUUGCCAAGAGAUGAGUUCUCCCAGAUUUAAAAUCUGUAAGGGUUGUUUAAGACUAAGACGUAGAUAGGUGCGGUGUGUAAGUGAUGUGAGUCAUUGAGCUAACGCAUACUAAUUGCCCGAGAGGCUUAACUAUAC
rnacentral:rRNA from 1 species